UUACUUUAGUUUCUCCCAGUGAUUUUUCUAAUCCUCGAAGGGCAUAAAGUCACUCAUCUGCUUGUCUAAAAAAGGAAAUGGAAAAGAGAGCUAUCUUAGACUGCUUUGGUUUUUCUUAAUUUGGUCACUGGACCUUAAUGGAUUAUUCGGCAGAGUAUGUAUUUACUGUAUUAAGCAAAAUAAUUUAUCAAGAAUUCAAGAUGCAGGUUGAGGUUUGUAUCACGUUUCAUCUCUGUCCCAUCCAUGGAGAGGAGUUUCCAAGGACUUCUUGGACCUACUUGUUUUCGCUUUUCUAUUUGUGAGCCCUUCUUGUAUUGGUUUGAACAAAAUGUUUUGGAUCUUCUUGAUAGCAUACUCUCAAGCAUCAUUUGGCACAAGUCUGCACUCUUCCAUCUCUCGGCCACAAUGUAUUGACUUGAGUGCAUUUAAUAGAACAUUUGUACUUCUUUUCACAUAGACGGAUGAUUAUGCUCCAUUCAUUUAUCUGUCUGGCUCGAUAUUUAUCUUUAUAUGCAGUACAUUUUUGCCUUACGUGCUUGCAUUAUGAAAUUAAUGCUCUUAAUAAUCGUUUCCUAGCUAUUGCAUUCCUGGUGAUGUACUCGCCUGCGUCGAUCUGAAGCUUGUGGAGCACGGGGACAAGGUGAGGGCGGAGAUGUGAUUCGUCAGGAGGUGGGAUGCGCUGUGGUCGGUACGGGUCGCAUGUGCGCUGGGGCUGUUGCCCUCUCAUGACUCAUCAGAGCUAACCUCGUGCCCGCGCCGGCUGUUGAUGGAGCCGUCGCAGUAGGGAUGCCUGUGCUCGCCGACCACUAGCGCUCCGUCGUGGUGCUCAGCCUCUGGAACUGCAACCCGAUGGAGGUUAGCAAUGAUAUAAAGAGACAAAAGAAAGGCCUGAAAGCAGAUGAAGUGAAAAAUUGAGAGGCUUGUCAGCUCGAAUUGGGAGCCACUUCCUCUGGUCAACAGAACGCAGAGUAAUCAUGAAGGAUUUGGUAGUGAAAAGGCUAAAGAUGAAAUAUUCAUGGCCCGCUAAUACUAUCCAAGCAUUGCCAAACUGCAAGGACAGGAGGCACUUACUCAGGAAAUGAAGCAAGAUAUACAAGUCCAUGAGAGGGUUCUCAGUGCAUUUGCUAUUCAUGUUGAUCUACCAUCCUUAAUAUGCAUACACCAUGAUUGACAAUGCCUUGAUCCCCAUUGGGCUGCAAGCCUGCAAGUCUACUGCUUUGAUGUUCAUUUAGUUAGUUUGAAAUGCUGGCUGUAGAUCAAGAUCUCCGGCAGCGGGCACCAUCUCAAGCCAUUGGACUGGCGAGGAAUAGUUAUAGCGGGAGGGUUUAAAGAACUCGACAGAUCGUUCUUUCGCACUCACAAACCACAUGCUACCAUGGACUCAUUUUCAGAUCAUGAUGUGGAGCUUGAGGUGUAGGAGCUGGCGCUGGUAGGAGUGUCCACCUCCUAUAAGAUGACAAAGAUGGAGAGGAAGCAGGAGUGUUGGCGUAGGAGCAGCAGAUGUGGGCGCAGUGCCAGCAGGGCAGGAUGCAGGGGCAGGACGAUCUCAAUGGGCUCGCCAUCAAUGGCAGCGGAUGCCCAUGCCCAUGGUGCACCAUGCAGCCGACGGGUACUAUUACUAGCGCCUCCUCAAGCUAAGCGACUUGUUCUCGUUCCCGUCUCUCUUCCUUGUUGAGCUUUUAUCUGUGAAUGAUACUCUGAUCAUCAUUUGCCACGAAGAAAUUGUAAUUCGAAUUGAGAUUGAGAAUUUGAAAACGGUCGUA